rnacentral:rRNA from 1 species
CGGCGACGGGUGAGUAACACGUGGGUAACCUACCUAUAAGACUGGGACAACUUCGGGAAACCGGAGCUAAUACCGGAUAAGAUAUCGAACCGCAUGGUUCGAUAGUGAAAGAUGGUUUUGCUAUCACUUAUAGAUGGACCCGCGCCGUAUUAGCUAGUUGGUGAGGUAACGGCUCACCAAGGCAACGAUACGUAGCCGACCUGAGAGGGUGAUCGGCCACACUGGAACUGAGACACGGUCCAGACUCCUACGGGAGGCAGCAGCG